rnacentral:rRNA from 1 species
CUAGCGGGAUGCUUUACACAUGCAAGUCGAACGGCAGCACGAGAGAGCUUGCUCUCUUGGUGGCGAGUGGCGGACGGGUGAGUAAUAUAUCGGAACGUGCCCAGUANCGGGGGAUAACUACUCGAAAGAGUGGCUAAUACCGCAUACGCCCUACGGGGGAAAGGGGGGGAUCGCAAGACCUNUCACUAUUGGAGCGGCCGAUAUCGGAUUAGCUAGUUGGUGGGGUAAAGGCUCACCAAGGCAACGAUCCGUAGCUGGUUUGAGAGGACGACCAGCCACACUGGGACUGAGACACGGCCCAGACUCCUUCGGGAGGCAGCAGUGGGGAAUUUUGGACAAUGGGGGAAACCCUGAUCCAGCCAUCCCGCGUGUAUGAUGAAGGCCUUCGGAUUGUAAAGUACUUUUGGCAGAGAAGAAAAGGUAUCUCCUAAUACGAGGUACUGCUUGACGGUAUCUGCAGAAUAAGCACCGGCUAACUACCGUGCCAGCAGCCGCGGUAAU